GCAAUUGGAAAACCAAUGCUCAAAGACUGAGGAUUAUUAAGUGACCUUCACGAUGACAUAGUUAUAGUAAGUGAGGGAUGCAGUUAUUGCCUAUGCCUUGAAAAAACAUGCCCAAUAAGAAAUAUAAAGAAAGGCACAGGGAAGUGAAAAUACUGAAGGAAAGCCAGGUAGGGCAGUGGUUUAUAGAGUAGGUCUGGAUGUUGGUCUGAUAGGAGAAUGCCUCUUGGGUAGAACUGUGUAACACUCAUGAUUGAGAUAGUGCAAGUUAUUUAAGACCUGGAAAAUUCCACAGUGGAGGAGGGAUACUGCCUGGUAGAGCACAUGGCAGAGGGAUUGCCCCUAAUAGGAGACAGGUGUCGGAAGCAUCAUCAGCUUUCUCAGUGAGGACUGUAUGGAAGGGAAUUCUCCAGCUGGUGCACACUUGGGGAUUAGGAAAAAUGUUCCUAAAAGUCAGAUUUCAUUGUUCCUACAAUUCCAAACCAGGCUUCAUGGUAGAAACCACAAUAUAUGUUAUAAAAGACCACUUGUGGCUGGGCACAGUGGCUUACAUCCGUAAUCCCAGCACUUUGGGAAGCCGAAGUAGGCAGAUCACCUGAGGUCAGGAGUCGGAGACCAGACUGGCCAACAUGGUGAGACCCUAUCGCUACUAAAAAUAUAAAAAGUUAGCCAGACAUCGUGGUGCAUGCCUGUAAUCCAAGCUACUUGGGAGGCUGAGGCAGGAGAAUCGCUUGAACUCAGUAGGUGAAGGUUGCAGUGAGAUGAG
rnacentral:lncRNA from 1 species